GAGUUUGAUCCUGGCUCAGGAUGAACGCUAGCGGUGUGCCUAAUGCAGCAAGUCGAACGGCAGGAACCGUUUACGGAUGGUUCCGAGAGUGGCGAACGGGUGAGUAACACGUAGGUGACCUGCCCUGGAGAGGGGGAUAACCAGUGGAAACGGUGGCUAAUACCCCAGAAGUUAGAGAGGUUAGAGACUCUUUAACUAAAGCUCUGGCGCUCCAGGAGGGGCCUGCGGCCCAUCAGCUAGUUGGUAGGGUAGCGGCUUACCAAGGCGAAGACGGGUAGGGGGCGUGAGAGCGUGGUCCCCCACACUGGUACUGAGACACGGACCAGAUACCUGCGGGUAGCAGCAGCAAGGAAUAUUGCCCAAUGGGGGAAACCCUGAGGCAGCAACACCGCGUGGAGGAAAGAAGGCCUUCGGGUUGUAAACUCCUUUUCUGGGGGAUGAGAGCGGACAGUACCCCCGGAAUAAGUCUCGGCUAACUACGUGCCAGCAGCCGCGGUAAUAC
rnacentral:rRNA from 1 species